GACGAACGCUGGCGGCGUGCUUAACACAUGCAAGUCGUACGGAAAGGCCCUGUGCGUGGUCCACGGAUGGCGGACGGGUACGUAACACGUGAGUAAGGUGCCCACAACUUUGGGAUAACGCUAGGAAACUGGUGCUGGAACUGGCUCUGUACUCCUGCUGCAUGCUGGGGGUUGGAAAGCUACGGCGGUUGUGGCUGGUCUCGCGGCCUAGACGCUUGCUGGUUGGGUAGUGGCCUACCAAGGCGGCGUCGGGUAGCCGGCCUGCGUGGGUGACCGGCCACAUUGGGACUGAGAUACGGCCCAGACUCCUACGGGAGGCAGCAGGGGGGAAUAUUGCACAAUGGGCGCAAGCCUGAUGCAGCAACGCCGCGUGCGGGAUGACGGCCUUCGGGUUGUAAACCGCUUUCAGCAGGGACGAAGCUUUUUGUGACGGUACCUGUAGAAGAAGCACCGGCUAACUACGU
rnacentral:rRNA from 1 species